UAUUGUGUUAAACUGUUUUUAAUUUAUUACUUAUAUUUGUUUCUUUAUUUUUAAUUAAUUAGUAACUGUACCUAUGCUAUUUGUUAAAUGUUGAUGAUUUGGUCUUGUGAGUGUUGUUGAUGUUGCACUGCUUGUGCGGUGUUAUAUUAGAUUUGUUGCAAUUUAUGAUCAAUAUGCUUUAUUAUCUUUAGAUUAAUAAUAUCACCACAAACUAGGGAUGGCAAUAAAUUUUGGAUUCGACCCAAAUCCGCAAAGAUCUCGAAAAUCUAGACCCAGAUCCGGAUGCAAGUGCAUCUGAAAAAUCGGAUAUCCGAAUCC
rnacentral:lncRNA from 1 species